rnacentral:misc_RNA from 1 species
AUUGUCACAAGCGCCGUUAUCAUGGACUUGUUCAUUGCUGACCUCCCCUAUUGCCGGAGCGGAGAUGUUUGAUGAGUACCGCUGCUGACAACAUCAUCAUGGUUCACCUCACUCGGCUGGCUCCGAAACAAGUCGCGUGUCUUCCUUGACCGGCUCGAUGGUCGGCGAUGGAAGAUGACCGUUUCCACGAUCAUUGGCCGGCAGACGGAAGCCUUUGAUCAAUCCGUAGAG